rnacentral:rRNA from 1 species
GUGCCAGCAGCCGCGGUAAUACGGAGGGGGCUAGCGUUGUUCGGAAUUACUGGGCGUAAAGCGCACGUAGGCGGCUAUCCAAGUUGGGGGUGAAAUCCCUGGGCUUAACCCAGGAACUGCCUUCAAAACUGGAUGGCUAGAGUCCGAGAGAGGUGAGUGGAAUUUCCAGUGUAGAGGUGAAAUUCGUAGAUAUUGGAAAGAACACCAGUGGCGAAGGCGGCUCACUGGCUCGGUACUGACGCUGAGGUGCGACAGCGUGGGGAGCAAACAGGAUUAGAUACCCUGGUGGUCCACGCCGUAA